rnacentral:rRNA from 1 species
UACGAGGGGGGCUAGCGUUGCUCGGAAUCACUGGGCGUAAAGGGUGCGUAGGCGGGUCUUUAAGUCAGGGGUGAAAUCCUGGAGCUCAACUCCAGAACUGCCUUUGAUACUGAAGAUCUUGAGUUCGGGAGAGGUGAGUGGAACUGCGAGUGUAGAGGUGAAAUUCGUAGAUAUUCGCAAGAACACCAGUGGCGAAGGCGGCAUCCUGGACCGGCAUUGACGCUGAGGCGCGAAAGCCAGGGGAGCAAACGGG